UCCCGACCAUAGAAUGAUGGCUCCUCACACACUGCCGAUCGCUCCUCCUUAUUUUUCGAGCCCCCGCCUCCAAACCUUCCACUAACAUAAUCGUAGACACCGCCAAAGCAUACCAUGAAAAGUCCUAUCUGCGCAAACUGCUGAACAACUCUCAACUGCCCAAAAUCUCUUCACAGAUACUCAAUUGCCGCAUCGACAUGUCUAAUGAAACUGUAGCAGAAGCA
rnacentral:lncRNA from 1 species